rnacentral:lncRNA from 1 species
GAAAGAGGCUUUGUGAGGAAAUGCAGGUUCUGAAAGAAGACUGAGCAGAAGUUGAGCUGAAAGAGGAAGGCUACUUUCCAGUCCUCCUCACACUCGGCUGAUUAACAAACUGUUUUUCUCUCCGUUCACGAUGAAGCUUUUUGGAGCUCUGGUCCUGUUCAUGACUCUGUCAGCAGCAUGUGGACUGAGAUGCUACACAUGCACGGCCACCGACCCUAAAUCCUGCACUGACACCAAAUCUUGUCCUGUUCUCUUCAACCGUUGUUUCUCUCUCAAGAUAGACGGUAAGUUGUUUAUUCACAUUAAAAGUUUCAAAAGCUUAUAUUUCACACAUCAAAAUCAACCAUCAAACCUGAUACAACAUGCUGCUGUAGUGGCUAUUAAACAUGUCAUGAUAUGUUUCAGUAAUUAGUUUUCUAAGUGUUCCCGUUGUGUUUUUCAGGUUAUAACAUGGUUACCAAGGGCUGCCAACACAGCAUAACAUGUGUAGCUGCCAUAGCUUGCUGUGAAGGUAGCUUGUGUAACAGUGCCAUACCAACAGCUCCCUGUGCCAUCCUCCUGCUGGUAUCCUCAGCCGUCAUCAUGCUCUUUCUCUGAGGCUCUGGGACUUUCUUAUUCGUAUACUGUACGUUUUCCUGAUCCAACUUGUACAACUUAAGAAGAAUAAACAACUUCCAUAUUAAACUGCACUGCAAAUCCUCUAUGUCUAAGUCAAUUAGAUCA